CCCGCCCCCGCCCGCGGGCCAACCGCCGGGGCGCGCGCCCGGGGAGGGCGGUCCCGGGCGCAGAGCUCGCGAGAGGAACAUGGCCGCGGCGGGCCGGGGAAUGUGCUGAAACAGACACUCUACAAGGGUGCUAGAGAUACAAGGACUGUCAUGCUUGCAAGCCUUCAUAGAUGUUAGCUGUUUUCCACAUGUGAAUGGUUUUGAUAUUAAAACUUCAGCCUGUAGAACAUUUUGUUUACUUUUAACAGUUUUUCUGCAGUGACUCAGGCUUGUACCAGCACUGCACCUCCAGAGGGACUCCAGAUCCUGUGUGGUUUGC
rnacentral:lncRNA from 1 species